UACGUAGGGGGCGAGCGUUGUUCGGAAUUACUGGGCGUAAAGGGCGCGUAGGCGGCCGCCUAAGUCAGACGUGAAAUCCCUCGGCUCAACCGGGGAACUGCGUCUGAUACUGGGUGGCUUGAAUUCGGGAGAGGGAUGCGGAAUUCCAGGUGUAGCGGUGAAAUGCGUAGAUAUCUGGAGGAACACCGGUGGCGAAGGCGGCAUCCUGGACCGACAUUGACGCUGAGGCGCGAAAGCCAGGGGAGCAAACGGG
rnacentral:rRNA from 1 species